CGCCGCGUGAGCGAUGAAGGCCUUCGGGGUGUAAAGCUCUUUCGGCAGGGAAGAUAAUGACGGUACCUGGAGAAGAAGCUGCGGCUAACUACGUGCCAGCAGCCGCGGUAAUACGUAGGGGGCAAGCGUUGUUCGGAGUUACUGGGCGUAAAGGGUGUGUAGGCGGUUUUCUAAGUUUGGUGUGAAAUCUCCCGGCUCAACCGGGAGGGUGCGCCGAAAACUGGGGGGCUUGAGUGUGGGAGAGGAAAGUGGAAUUCCUGGUGUAGCGGUGAAAUGCGUAGAUAUCAGGAGGAACACCUGUGGUGUAGACGGCUUUCUGGACCAUUACUGACGCUGAGACACGAAAGCGUGGGGAGCAAACAGGAUUAGAUACCCUGGUAGUCCACGCCCUAAACGAUGCAUACUUGGUGUGGGCGAUUCAUUU
rnacentral:rRNA from 1 species